UACGUAGGGUCCGAGCGUUGUCCGGAAUUACUGGGCGUAAAGAGCUCGUAGGUGGUUUGUCGCGUUGUUCGUGAAAACUCACAGCUCAACUGUGGGCGUGCGGGCGAUACGGGCAGACUAGAGUACUGCAGGGGAGACUGGAAUUCCUGGUGUAGCGGUGGAAUGCGCAGAUAUCAGGAGGAACACCAAUAGCGAAGGCAGCUCGCUGGGACGUUACUGACACUGAGGCGCGAAAGCGUGGGGAGCGAACAGG
rnacentral:rRNA from 1 species